AUUGAACGCUAGCGGCAUGCCUUACACAUGCAAGUCGAACGGAGCGGCGAACGGGUGAGUAAUGCAUCGGAACGUGCCUAGUAGCGGGGGAUAACUACGCGAAAGCGUCGCUAAUACCGCAUACUAUUAGAUCGGCCUAUAUCGGAUUAGCUAGUUGGUGGGGUAAAGGCCUACCAGGGCGACGAUCCGUAGCUGUUCUGAGAGGACGACCAGCCAACUGGGAACGGGGACCCGGCCCAGACUCCUACGGGAGGAGGCAGUGGGGAAUUUUGGAAAAGGGGGGAAACCCGGAUCCAGCCAGCCCGCGUUGGGGAUGAGGGCCUUCGGGUUGUAAAGCACUUUAGGCAGGAAGGCGGUACCUGCAGAAUAAGCACCGGCUAACUACGUGCCAGCAGCCGCGGUAAUUC
rnacentral:rRNA from 1 species